CCCCUACGGGGGGCAGCAGUGGGGGAUAUUGCACAAUGGGGGAAACCCUGAUGCAGCGACGCCGCGUGGGUGAAGAAGCGCCUCGGCGCGUAAAGCCCUGUCAGCAGGGAAGAAAAUGACGGUACCCAAAGAGGAAGCUCCGGCUAACUACGUGCCAGCAGCCGCGGUAAUACGUAGGGAGCAAGCGUUGUCCGGAAUUGCUGGGUGUAAAGGGAGCGUAGGCGGGAUGGCAAGUAGAAUGUUAAAUCCAUCGGCUCAACCGGUGGCUGCGUUCUAAACUGCCGUUCUUGAGUGAAGUAGAGGCG
rnacentral:rRNA from 1 species